CAAAAAUACAAUUCUAUUUAUAACAUUUCUAUUGUUAUAAAAAGUUUGAUUAAUAAUAAAUAACCGCAUGUUACUUGUUAGCUUGAUAAGCAAGUCACCCGGUCCAUAUAAAUUUGCUAGGAUGCUGUUAGAGUUGAUGCACACGCGGAAACACAUUAAAGAAAAGGAACAUUACUUUCAGACCGAGCAAUAAAUGCGGCUUCAAUUGGCUAUUUGAGCUUGAAAUCCUAUACUCUGAACAUUGCCGAAUUGUAGCUUUAUUUCUAUGCCAAGAGCUGUCCAAGCUUUAUUAUAUUCCAGGAUUUGUCCAAAAGCACAGUAGGUCAUUCAAGACUAUGUCCACAAUGCAUUCAAUCUCUUGCUGCAGCCAUAUUGAGAAUGCAACUCCAUGAUUGCUUUAUCAUGGACUCAGGACAUAUGGUGAUAUUUGACAAUUAUGGAUUGAAUUGACUUCUCUUUCUUUCUUUAUUUAGAACCAGAACAUAAUGUGGGCUGAGUAAUUUUCUGAUUUGAUUUAUUGUUGACCUUGAAUUUGA